rnacentral:rRNA from 1 species
GCGAUCAUAACUGCACUAAUGCACCGGAUCCCAUCAGAACUCCGAAGUUAAGUGUGCUUGGGCGGGAGCAGUACUAGGAUGGGUUAUUGUAACGACCCGGUCCUUUGGCC